rnacentral:rRNA from 1 species
GAGUUUGAUCCUGGCUCAGAUUGAACGCUGGCGGAAUGCUUUACACAUGCAAGUCGAACGGCAGCACGGGAGCUUGCUCCUGGUGGCGAGUGGCGAACGGGUGAGUAAUGCGUCGGAACGUACCGAGUAAUGGGGGAUAACGCAGCGAAAGUUGUGCUAAUACCGCAUACGCCCUGAGGGGGAAAGCAGGGGAUCGUAAGACCUUGCGUUAUUCGAGCGGCCGACGUCUGAUUAGCUAGUUGGUGGGGUAAAGGCCUACCAAGGCGACGAUCAGUAGCGGGUCUGAGAGGAUGAUCCGCCACACUGGAACUGAGACACGGUCCAGACUCCUACGGGAGGCAGCAGUGGGGAAUUUUGGACAAUGGGCGAAAGCCUGAUCCAGCCAUUCCGCGUGAGUGAAGAAGGCCUUCGGGUUGUAAAGCUCUUUCGGCAGGAACGAAAUGGUCACGGUUAAUAACUGUGACUUCUGACGGUACCUGAAGAAGAAGCACCGGCUAACUACGUGCCAGCAGCCGCGGUAAUACGUAGGGUGCGAGCGUUAAUCGGAAUUACUGGGCGUAAAGCGUGCGCAGGCGGUUUUGUAAGUCAGAUGUGAAAGCCCCGGGCUUAACCUGGGAAUGGCGUUUGAAACUACAAGGCUAGAGUGUGUC